rnacentral:rRNA from 1 species
GACGAACGCUGGCGGCGUGCCUAAUACAUGCAAGUAGAACGCACAGUUUAUACCGUAGCUUGCUACACCAUAGACUGUGAGUUGCGAACGGGUGAGUAACGCGUAGGUAACCUGCCUGGUAGCGGGGGAUAACUAUUGGAAACGAUAGCUAAUACCGCAUCAUAUUGAUUAUUGCAUGAUAAUUGAUUGAAAGAUGCUAUUGCAUCACUACCAGAUGGACCUGCGUUGUAUUAGCUAGUAGGGGAGGUAACGGCUCACCUAGGCGACGAUACAUAGCCGACCUGAGAGGGUGAGCGGCCACACUGGGACUGAGACACGGCCCAGACACCUACGGGAGGCAGCAGUAGGGAAUCUUCGGCAAUAGACGAAAGUCUGACCGAGCAACGCCGCGUGAGGGAAGAAGGGUUUCGGAUCGUAAAGCUCUGUUGUAAGAGAAGAACGGGUGUGAGAGUGGAAAGUUCACAGUGUGACGGUAUCUUACCAGAAAGGGACGGCUAACUACGUG